UGUACUCGAUGCCCAAUGGAGUGCAGGAGCAAAAUGUCGAGGGAGAGGCGAGCGGGGGUGAGAGUGGCGAGUGGCCCUCGAAUGCAGAGGAGGACGAGGAGAGCGACGACCCGAGUGACGAAGAAGAGGUCGACUCGCCUCCUCGCAGAGAAAGGAGGUCCAAGCAUGCUCACGACCCGGCAAGCAACCCCGACCUGAUGGCCGCACCGACUGGGCAGUCUUGAAAGCGCCCUCGGACGUCUUCUCCAGUGCCGACUGAGAAGGGACCGAAACAGCUCAAGACUGCGCUGCCUCCUGCGCCGAAACCAUUGAAGGCCACAUCCUCCAAACCGUCGAAGGCUUUGCCCAGAAUCAAAGUGACCAUUCCCACCAUCUCCAGUGCUGCUACCUCUGGAACUUCUUCCCGCCAAUACCGAUACGAGGAAAUGGAAGACGCGGUUACCUCCAACCCAGCCCCACCCAAGGUUAUUGAGCUUCCGGAUGAUGAUGAAGAUGUGGCCCCGAGGCCCAGAAAGAACAAAAAAGUAGCGGCUGGCAAGACAUCUCAGCCGGGACUGAUGACAGA